UGUUAGUGUUUAGUGUUGGACUGUUUUUGUUCUUAGAAUUAAGAAACUUAUGUCGAGCAAAAAUAAAACUACUCAAAAACGCGAAUAUGUGGUAGAUUUCAGACCCUGUGGUAGAUGGUCAAAAAAGUAGCAGAUCUACCACAAUGUGGUAGAAGUCCGAUCACUGGCCUCGAGUGAAGAUCUGUGAGAACUAAAAUGUGUUUUUUUAUACUUUUGGUUUUCAUAUCCUAAUUUUUUUAGAGUGCCUGCUAAUAAGAAUAUGCCUCCACCACAAUCGCUUAAGCCACUUGCAAACGCUUUUAAGCAAAUUUCAUCACACAGAUGGAGGUCAAAAGUUCGCGAGUAUAUCGGUGGCUAUCCUCUACUUUAUUUGUACGGAAAUGAAGCCAUUUUAAGGAAGGUGAAGGCUUUCUCAAGCUAAUGAAAACAAUUGCGCCUUUGUAUAAAGUUCCGAGACGAAAGUAUUUUAAGGCGCAACUCAAUGCGAAGUACGAUGUCGUUAAACUGAACUAUAUUGAGAAAGUCAAAAACGCUGAUAAAUUAAGUUUAACCAUGGACAUAUAGACAGAUACAAUGGCGGAGAAGGGCUACUUGGGUGUAACUAUGCACUUCAUCGAUGGAGUUCAAACAAAGGCUCGGUACUCGGGAGCUGCGGAAAAUCUCAUAUAGAAGCAGGGUCGGCUGAGGGCGCAACGAAAAAACUUAUUUGAGAUGUGAAGACGAGAUGGAACUUAACAUACUUUAUGCUACAAAGGUUUAUAGAUUUGGGUCCAAUUUGCUCACAAAUGUUGAUCUUUUCUCCUGACGGCUCUAACAUGUUGACAGGUAGCGAAAUCGACUGCAUAAAGCAACUAAUCUUACUUCUAAAGCCUUUUGAGUGUGCCACUAGAGAAAGUUCCGCUGAAAAAUAUAUUUAAAUUUCCAAAAUAA